AGGUUUGUCUCAUGACUUUUGGGUUAGCUGUUUUCACCAUGAGCCUGAUGAAAGCUCUCUACAGCCCAUGAGCUCCCCGAAAUGGCAGAGGAAUGAUCUGCACGGUUAAUUUGGAAAGAUUGAUAGUGCACAGGUUUGCUGUCAUCAGAUGUCUCAUUGUCCAAAGAGGAGGGAGCAGCAAAACCUCUUGGUGCAACCCUGCUCUGCGGACAUGGACUAAAAGACACCUCCUUUGCUUUAAUAUAGUCCUGUUUAAGAAGCCUGUAUAAGUGAAAACGGCAACGUCACAGUGAGCUGAUACCAGUGUGAUAAGAUAAAUGCAACCUUUACAUGUUAGCCGCCUUUGUAAUAUGUUUUUUAUGAGAGGGAAAUUCAGAUUUAAAAGGAAGUUUAUUUUAUAUUUUAGCUAUUACAAAGGGGGAAAAAAAGCCCAAGGGAUGAAAAGAAAAAUAUUUUGGAAAAUUGGAGUUUGUGAG